UACGUAGGCAGCAAGCGUUGUUCGGAAUUACUGGGCGUAAAGAGUGUGUAGGCGGUUCUCUAAGUUCCGUGUGAAAUCUCCCGGCUUAACUGGGAGGGUGCGCGGGAAGCUGGAGAGCUCGAGCGUGGGAGAGGAAAGCGGAAUUCCCGGUGUAGCGGUGAAAUGCGUAGAUAUCGUAAGGAAGACCAGUGGCGAAGGCGGGUCUCUGGACGGUUCCUGACACUGAGACACGAAGGCCAGGGGAGCAAACGGG
rnacentral:rRNA from 1 species